AAGGUGGACAAGGAUGACGCGGAUUUCUGCACGGUAUAACUCGAAGUGGUUAUCGAUGGUUGUUGGAGGCGGUUGGCGGUAGUUGGCGGUGGUCGAGGGUGGACGUUGAGGAGGACGAGGAAGACGAGGAUUUGUGCUCGGUAUAACCGGAGGUGGUUGCCGAUGGUUGUGGUGGUUGAAUGUGGACGAGGAGAACAAGGUGGACAAGGAGGACGAGGAUUUGUGCACGGUAUAACCCGAGGUGGUUAGCAGUGGUCGUUGGAGUGGUUGGUGGUAGUUGGAGGUGGUCGAGCUGGAGGAGGAGGAGGAGGAGGACGAGGCUGACGAGGAGAACAGGGUGGACGAGGAGGACGAGAAUUUGUGCUCGGUGAGUUUAACAUUUUUAUAAUAUUUGAUGAAUUAGGAUCAGCAUCAGGAGAAGAAAUAGGAGUAAGAUCAGUAAUAGGAUCAGGAGAGGGAGUAGGAGUAGGAGUAGGAUCAGAAGUGGGAUCAGUAAGAGUAGGAGUAGGAUCAGGAAUAGGAUCAGAAGUGGAAUCAGGAAUAGGUGAAGGUUGAGGAGAAAAAUCAGUAUCAGGAGUAGAAGUAGGAAUAGGAUCAGGAGUAGG